rnacentral:lncRNA from 1 species
UUAGGAGCUUUAAAACCAAUUUAAAUUUCUCAAAAUCCAAAGAAAAACAUAUGAAAUCAUACCUUAAUUCCCAACACAAGAUGGCCGAAUGCCUUAGGUGUUCUUCCUUCCAUUUUUCUUUUUCCUUUCCUUAUGGUUUCGGCAAGAUGAAAAAUAGAUGAUGGGACUUUGUUUUUAUCACCACCACUAAUAUAAAUUUAUUAUUAUACAUAAUUCCCACCAAUUAAAAAUGGAGACAAGAGAACACAUUGUUACAUGCAUGUGUUGGCCGGCCAUUUACAUUCAAAAAUGGUCUAAUUGACAUGCAAGUCCACAUUUUUGAAUACAUGCUCUAUUAGAU